rnacentral:rRNA from 1 species
GAUGAACGCUAGCUACAGGCUUAACACAUGCAAGUCGAGGGGAAACGGCAUUGAGUGCUUGCACUCUUUGGACGUCGACCGGCGCACGGGUGAGUAACGCGUAUCCAACCUUCCCAUUACUGUGGGAUAACCUGCCGAAAGGCAGACUAAUACCGCAUAGUCUUCGAUGACGGCAUCAGAUUUGAAGUAAGGAUUUAUCGGUAAUGGAUGGGGAUGCGUCUGAUUAGCUUGUUGGCGGGGUAACGGCCCACCAAGGCGACGAUCAGUAGGGGUUCUGAGAGGAAGGUCCCCCACAUUGGAACUGAGACACGGUCCAAACUCCUACGGGAGGCAGCAGUGAGGAAUAUUGGUCAAUGGACGGAAGUCUGAACCAGCCAAGUAGCGUGCAGGAUGACGGCCCUAUGGGUUGUAAACUGCUUUUGUAUGGGGAUAAAGUUAGGGACGUGUCCCUAUUUGCAGGUACCAUACGAAUAAGAACCGGCUAAUUACGUG